AAAAAACAAAAAUCACCCAAAAUCAAAAGUAAGGCUAUAACAAGGCCAAUUUUUUCAAAAAUUAAAAAAAAAAAAAAAAAUUGAGUUAGGACCAUCAUUAGACCCUAAAAACUACUGCAAAUAUAAUGCACAUACUUAAACAUGGCUAAGAAAGCAGUAAGGCACAAAAAUUGAGAAAAAAACUAAAAUCACCCAAAAUCAAAAGUAAGGCUAUAACAAGGCAUAUUUUUUCAAAAAUUUCAAAAAAAAAAAAAUUGAGUUAGGACCAUCAUUAGACCCUAAAAACUACUGCAAAUAUAAUGCACAUACUUAAAUAGGGCUAAGAAAACAGUAAGGCACAAAAAUUGACAAAAAACUAAAAUCACCCAAAAUCAAAAGUAAGGCAUAUUUUUUCAAAAAUUAAAAAAAAAAAAAAAAAAAAAAAAAAAAAAAAAAAAAUUGAGUUAGGACCAUCAUUAGACCCUAAAAACUACUGCAAAUAUAAUGCACAUACUUAAAUAGGGCUAAGAAAACAGUAAGGCACAAAAAUUGACAAAAAACUAAAAUCACCCAAAAUCAAAAGUAAGGCAUAUUUUUUCAAAAAUUAAAAAAAAAAAAAAAUUGAGUUAGGAC
rnacentral:lncRNA from 1 species